rfam:Flavobacterium branchiophilum FL-15, complete genome.
GGGAGGUCUUGGCAACCACGAGCUGGUUAGGUCAAGAAGUCAGCAGAGGUCAUAGUACUUGUGGCAAACGAGGUGCAAAAGAAAUGCACAGGUCUCACAAGCAAGGAAGGAC